UACGAAGGGGGCUAGCGUUGUUCGGAAUUACUGGGCGUAAAGGGCGCGUAGGCGGCGUGUCAAGUCAGGCGUGAAAGCCCCGGGCUCAACCUGGGAACCGCGCUUGAGACUGGCAUGCUCGAGUUCGGGAGAGGAUGGUGGAAUUCCCAGUGUAGAGGUGAAAUUCGUAGAUAUGCGGAGGAACACCGAUGGCGAAGGCAAUCCCCUGGGCCUGCACUGACGCUCAUGCACGAAAGCGUGGGGAGCAAACAGG
rnacentral:rRNA from 1 species